UACAGAGGUCUCAAGCGUUGUUCGGAUUCAUUGGGCGUAAAGGGUGCGUAGGCGGGCAGGUAAGUCCGUGGUGAAAUCCUAUAGCUUAACUAUAGAACUGCCAUGGAUACUAUUUGUCUUGAAUAUCGUAGAGGUAAGCGGAAUAUGUCAUGUAGCGGUGAAAUGCUUAGAUAUGACAUAGAACACCAAUUGCGAAGGCAGCUUGCUAUGCGAUUAUUGACGCUGAGGCACGAAAGCGUGGGGAGCAAAAGGG
rnacentral:rRNA from 1 species